UCAUUUUAACUUUGACAGUGCAUAUACUAAACUUGAAGCAAUGUGGAGAAGAUUAGCAUGGCCCUGUGCAAGUAUGACACACAAAUUUGUGAAGCAUUCCAUGGGUUU
ensembl:snRNA U6 U6 spliceosomal RNA